GAUGAACGCUGGCGGCGUGCCUAAUACAUGCAAGUCGAGCGAACGGACGAGAAGCUUGCUUCUCUGAUGUUAGCGGCGGACGGGUGAGUAACACGUGGAUAACCUACCUAUAAGACUGGGAUAACUUCGGGAAACCGGAGCUAAUACCGGAUAAUAUUUUGAACCGCAUGGUUCAAAAGUGAAAGACGGUCUUGCUGUCACUUAUAGAUGGAUCCGCGCUGCAUUAGCUAGUUGGUAAGGUAACGGCUUACCAAGGCAACGAUGCAUAGCCGACCUGAGAGGGUGAUCGGCCACACUGGAACUGAGACACGGGCCAGACUCCUACGGGAGGCAGCAGUAGGGAAUCUUCCGCAAUGGGCGAAAGCCUGACGGAGCAACGCCGCGUGAGUGAUGAAGGUCUUCGGAUCGUAAAACUCUGUUAUUAGGGAAGAACAUAUGUGUAAGUAACUGUGCACAUCUUGACGGUACCUAAUCAGAAAGCCACGGCUAACUACGUGC
rnacentral:rRNA from 1 species